rnacentral:rRNA from 1 species
GACGUAGGGGGCGAGCGUUGUCCGGAUUUAUUGGGCGUAAAGCGUGCGUAGGCGGCUGCGCAAGUCGGUUGUGAAACCCCGGGGCUCAACCCCGGAACUGCAUCCGAUACUGCGUGGCUAGAGGUAGGUAGGGGAGAUCGGAAUUCCUGGUGUAGCGGUGAAAUGCGCAGAUAUCAGGAGGAACACCGGUGGCGAAGGCGGGUCUCUGGGCCGACAUUGACGCUGAGGAGCGAAAGCGUGGGGAGCGAACAGG